GGGAUCUCCCAGUAGGGUAGAUCAUCAUGACUUACCUGCAGUCUGUUGAGACAGCACCAAAUAGAAAUCUUCUUAUGUGCCAUUAGGGACAAAUGUGAGUGCCAGGACUGCUUGACCCCAAGGUUCCUGGCUCUGAAAUUUUCUCCCAUUGGAAAUAUACUCUGACUACUGUAGGACAAGCUUCCUGGCAGCAGGUAUCUCUGAUCAACACCGUAUCAGAAGAAAAUUAUUUGGAAGGGACAUGAAGCAACUUGCUUUGCUAUUUCAGGAGAUCAGCUUUAAAAUGUGAGUUACAUCAGGUAAGCUGUGAAUAAAUGAAUGAAUGUCCCAGAUCAAUGGCAUGAGUAAUUUGUUGUAAUUACCUGGCACUUUCUCUUUGAGUC
rnacentral:lncRNA from 1 species